GGAAUUGACGGGGCCCGCACAAGCGGAGGAACAUGUGGUUAAUUCGAUGAUACGCGAGGAACCUUACCUGGGCUUAAAUGGGGAGUGACAGCUGUCGAAAGAUGGUUUCUUCGGACACUCUUCAAGGUGCUGCAUGGUUGUCGUCAGCUCGUGCCGUGAGGUGUCGGGUUAAGUCCCAUAACGAGCGCAACCCUUACCGUUAGUUACCAUCAGGUUAAGCUGGGGACUCUAGCGGGACUGCCACCGUAAGGUGAGAGGAAGUGGGGAUGACGUCAAAUCAGCACGGCCCUUAUGUCCAGGGCUACACACGUGUUACAAUGGCCAGUACAAAGGGCAGCUACCGGGUGACCGGAUGCUAAUCUCUAAAGCUGGUCUCAGUUCGGAUCGAAGUCUGCAACCCGACUUCGUGAAGCUGGAUUCGCUAGUAAUCGCGCAUCAGCCAUGGCGCGGUCGAAUACGUUCCCGGGCCUU
rnacentral:rRNA from 1 species